rnacentral:rRNA from 1 species
GUAGGGAAUAUUGGGCAAUGGAUGCAAGUCUGACCCAGCCAUCCCGCGUGCCGGAAGAAGGCCCUCAGGGUUGUAAACGGCAUUUGACGGUGAAGAAUCGCCAGGAUGCGUCCUGUUUUGACGGUAGCCGUUGAAUAAGCACCGGCUAACUCCGUGCCAGCAGCCGCGGUCAUACGGAGGGUGCGAGCGUUGUCCGGAUUUAUUGGGUUUAAAGGGUGCGUAGGCUGGCAGGUCAGUCAGCGGUGAAAAGCUGUCGCUUAACGAUAGUCUUGCCGCAGAUACUUCCAUUCUUGGAUGAGGAUGAGGCCACUGGAACGGAUGGUGUAGCGGUGAAAUGCAUAGAUAUCAUCCAGAACACCGAUUGUGAAGGCAGGUGGCUGUACCUUAAUCGACGCUGAUGCACGAAAGCAUGGGGAGCAAACAGGAUUAGAAACCCGUGUAGUCC